rnacentral:rRNA from 1 species
GCCUACGGGGGGCAGCAGUGAGGAAUAUUGGUCAAUGGGCGGAAGCCUGAACCAGCCAAGUCGCGUGAGGGAAUAAGGCCCUACGGGUCGUAAACCUCUUUUGCCGGGGAGCAAGGGCCGGGACGCGUCCCGGCCCGGAGAGUACCCGGAGAAAAAGCAUCGGCUAACUCCGUGCCAGCAGCCGCGGUAAUACGGAGGAUGCGAGCGUUAUCCGGAUUUACUGGGUGUAAAGGGUGCGUAGGUGGCAGGGCAAGUCAGAUGUGAAAGCCCGGGGCUCAACCCCGGUACUGCAUUUGAAACUGUCC